rnacentral:rRNA from 1 species
CGGCCGCGUCGACGAUGGUUUCGGCUAUCACUUACAGAUGGGCCCGCGGCGCAUUAGCUAGUUGGUGAGGUAACGGCUCACCAAGGCAACGAUGCGUAGCCGACCUGAGAGGGUGAUCGGCCACACUGGGACUGAGACACGGCCCAGACUCCUACGGGAGGCAGCAGUAGGGAAUCUUCCACAAUGGACGAAAGUCUGAUGGAGCAACGCCGCGUGAGCGAUGAAGGCCCUUGGGUCGUAAAGCUCUGUUGUUAGGGAAGAACAAGUGCGAGAGUAACUGCUCGCACCUUGACGGUACCUAACCAGAAAGCCACGGCUAACUACGUGCCAGCAGCCGCGGUAAUACGUAGGUGGCAAGCGUUGUCCGGAAUUAUUGGUCGACGCGGCCG